AUUGAACGCUGGCGGCAGGCCUAACACAUGCAAGUCGAACGAGAGGCGGACGGGUGAGUAAUGUCUGGGAAACUGCCUGAUGGCGGGGGAUAACUACUGGAAACGGUAGCUAAUACCGCAUACCAUCAGAUGUGCCCAGAUGGGAUUAGCUAGUAGGUGGGGUAACGGCUCACCAAGGCGACGAUCCCUAGCUGGUCUGAGAGGAUGACCAGCCACACUGGAACUGAGACACGGUCCAGACUCCUAAGGGAGGCAGCAGUGGGGAAUAUUGCACAAUGGGCGAAAGCCUGAUGAAGCCAUGCCGCGUGUGUGAAGAAGGCCUGCGGGUUGUAAAGCACUUUCAGCGGGGAGGCGUUACCCGCAGAAGAAGCACCGGCUAACUCCGUGCCAGCAGCCGCGGUAAUAC
rnacentral:rRNA from 1 species